UGCCCACCCUUUUAAGGUAUUAACCAUUCUCUAACAGCAGAACCAUGGGCACGCCUCAGUCUUGUGUUAUGUGCAGAGCAGAAUUAAAUGAGAAACAGAGCCUGUGCACUGGAUUUGUGAGGCAGACUGAAGACAGACUAGAAAUGUUGGGUGUGUAACUCGUAAGUUUCUUGACUAUAUCCAGUCGCUGUAGGGAGCUGUGCAUCCUUCCUGUCACAGCCUGUCUUUGUCUCUGUUUCUGUCUCUGUGACAUACAUAUGCAUGCAUGUUUGUAGCAUGUUUGUACUUUAUGAAAGCUGUAUGUCUUGAGACCGUGCCCUGAGCUUUGAACAUUAUGAGAAAAAUAUAAUAUCCAGUCCUCAGAGCUUCCUGUGGCCAUCUAUGUGAGAAGCAGUAAUUACUCAGCCUGUGAAUCUUGGUUAUUUCUGACUUUCCACCUUUCAAAUGAUUAUGUAAUUUGGUGAAUGUUCCUUUGUAAUUCCGGGUUUCUGAGGUAAUGUAAAUGAAGUGCUCGUUGUGUGUGUGUCUCCUCAUCUGCCCUCAGUGAAAGAUGCAGGGUUUCUCUACAGGAGAUGGGGAUGCUUGGCUUCUGUCCAAGGGGAGUUUUAUGCUUCAUUGAUUUCAAAGAAAAGUAUGAUUAAACCACAGGUUCAUAAUUUAGUGAUGGCAUUAUCUAGAAAGAAUGAGAAAAUGAAAAUAAUUUAGAAGUGUGUAUGUAUGUGUCUGUCUCUAUGUAUAAGUAUAUGUAUGUGUAUUUAUGUCCAUAUAUAUGUAUUAUGUACAUAUGAAUAUAUUUGUGUAUGUCAACAUGUAUGAUAUGUGCAAUGUAUGAGUGCAUAAAUGUGUGUGUUUGUAUGUGUGAGUGUGUACUAUGGAGUGGAGAGCAGAGCUUGAAUCCUGAGAUUAAUGAAAGUGAUGUAUGAUUAACAGUGGUAACAAAACUAUACAGGGAGAGUAAUGAGAGAUCUUACUAGAAGUGUCAACCUAGCUUUUUUGUAUAUGGACAAUAAAACAAAUGAAAGCAAACAGAACAAAUGCUGUACAUCCUAACCAUACAAGAGAAAUGAUUUGUCUGACUUUGGAUGACUCAAUGGUGAAGCUAAUUCUUUAGAAACAGUACUUCCAAGCUUGAUACAAACUAGAGCUAUGUGAGAAGAGGAACCUCAAUGCCUCCAUCAAAUUGUCCAUGGGCAGAUCUGCAGAGCAUUUUCUUGAUUAAUGAAUGAUGUGGGAGGACCCAGUCCACUAUGGGUGUUAUCAUCCAUGGGCAUAUGAUCUUGGAGUAUAUAAGAAUGCAGGCUGAGCAAGCAAUGGGGAAUAAACCAGUAAUCAGCAUUCUUUCAUGGCCUCUGCUUCACUCCCUGCCUCUAGGUUCCUGUCUUGAGUUCCUGCCUUGAUUUCUCUCUUUAAUGAAUUAUAAACUGUAGAAUGAAAUAAACCCUUUACUUCCCCAAGUUGCUUUUGGCCAUGGUGUUUCAUCAUAGCAAUAGAAACCUAACUAAGACAACUUUCCAGGUACCAUAGCAGUUAAUUUUGGGUUUUGUCUUUCUUGCAUUGAGGAAAAACUACAAAACUAUCAAAGUAUAGCUUUGGAUGUUGGAUGUUUCUUCAAGAUUUUCCCCAGAGUAUUGGAAUAUGGACCAGCAAACUGACUGGGAAAAGCCCAUCCCUAGUGGAAGUGGGCACUAUACGCUUGUCUGGGAGGCCCCACUGGAGAAGAAAGCAGAAACUGCGUUGUUUGACCUUCUCCCUUGAGUGGAAUGCUUUCUCCUGCUGCUCCAGGAUUCAAACUACAUAAAUAAUUGCACAUUUCUACUUUUUUCAGUGCAAGAUCGCUAUUGUAGUUCUGAAUGUAAAAUGUCACCCAUAGAUUCAUGUCUGUGGACAUUUUGUGCCCAGCUGAUGGAACCACUUUGGAAGGGUGUAGACUCUUAGAAGAUGGAGCCUUGCUAGAAGAAGCAAGAUCUUGAAGUUUGAUAGCCCCUCUGGUAUGGGUAUGCCUUCUGCUUCCUGAGAAAUGUGACCUGCCACCCAAUGCUCUUGUCACUAUGUCUUCCCUAUCAUGAUACACUAUUGAAUUGUAAGUCAAAAUAAAGCUUCUUUCCUCAGAUU